rnacentral:rRNA from 1 species
UGGGGAAUAUUGGACAAUGGGCGCAAGCCUGAUCCAGCCAUGCCGCGUGUGUGAAGAAGGCCUUUUGGUUGUAAAGCACUUUAAGCGAGGAGGAGGCUACUUGGAUUAAUACUCUAGGAUAGUGGACGUUACUCGCAGAAUAAGCACCGGCUAACUCUGUGCCAGCAGCCGCGGUAAUACAGAGGGUGCGAGCGUUAAUCGGAUUUACUGGGCGUAAAGCGUGCGUAGGCGGCUUCUUAAGUCGGAUGUGAAAUCCCUGAGCUUAACUUAGGAAUUGCAUUCGAUACUGGGAAGCUAGAGUAUGGGAGAGGAUGGUAGAAUUCCAGGUGUAGCGGUGAAAUGCGUAGAGAUCUGGAGGAAUACCGAUGGCGAAGGCAGCCAUCUGGCAUAAUACUGACGCUGAGGUACGAAAGCAUGGGGAGCAAACAGG